rnacentral:rRNA from 1 species
GUGAGGAAUAUUGGUCAAUGGGCGGAAGCCUGAACCAGCCAUCCCGCGUGGAGGAAGACGGCCCUAUGGGUUGUAAACUUCUUUUCAAGGGGAAGAAAGUUCGCGACGUGUCGCGAUUUGCCGGUACCUUUGGAAUAAGCAUCGGCUAACUCCGUGCCAGCAGCCGCGGUAAUACGGAGGAUGCGAGCGUUAUCCGGAUUUAUUGGGUUUAAAGGGUGCGUAGGCCGGCCGAUAAGUCAGCGGUGAAAUACCAUGGCCCAACCAUGGAACUGCCGUUGAUACUGUCGGUCUUGAAUAUGGUCAAGGUAGGCGGAAUGUGUAAUGUAGCGGUGAAAUGCUUAGAUAUUACACAGAACACCGAUUGCGAAGGCAGCUUACUGGUCCAUUAUUGACGCUGAGGCACGAAAGCGUGGGGAUCGAACAGGAUUAGAAACCCUUGUAGUCC